AGAUUGAACGCUGGCGGCAUGCCUAACACAUGCAAGUCGAACGGGAGUAGCAAUACUCUAGUGGCGGACGGGUGAGGAAUACGUAGGAAUUUGCCCUUAAGUGGGGGAUAACCCGGGGAAACCCGGAUUAAUACCGCAUGACCUCGAAAGAGCAAAGUGGGGGAUCGCAAGACCUCACGCUUUUGGAGAAGCCUACGUCGGAUUAGCUAGUUGGUGAGGUAAUGGCUCACCAAGGCGACGAUCCGUAACUGGUCUGAGAGGAUGAUCAGUCACACCGGAACUGAGACACGGUCCGGACUCCUACGGGAGGCAGCAGUGGGAAUAUUGGACAAUGGGACGCAAGCCUGAUCCAGCAAUGCCGCGUGUCGUAGAAGAACGGCCGUUCGGUUAGUAAACGCGUAACGUUUAAGUUAGGGAAAGAAAAACUACGACUCGUAACACAGUAGA
rnacentral:rRNA from 1 species